rnacentral:rRNA from 1 species
GCCUAAAGCGUCCGUAGCCUGUUCUAUAAGUUUCCGGUUAAAUCCAUUAGCUCAACUAAUGGGCUGCCGAAAAUACUGUAGAACUAGGGAGUGGGAGAGGUAGACGGUAUUCGGUAGGAAGGGGUAAAAUCCUUUGAUCUAUUGAGGACCACCUGUGGCGAAGGCGGUCUACCAGAACACGUUCGACGGUGAGGGAUGAAAGCUGGGGGAGCAAACCGGAUUAGAUACCCGGGUAGUCCCAGCCGUAAACGAUGCAGACUCGGUGAUGCGCUGGCUUGUGGCCAGUGCAGUGCCGCAGGGAAGCCGUUAAGUUUGCCGCCUGGGAAGUACGUACGCAAGUAUGAAACUUAAAGGAAUUGGCGGGGGAGCACCACAAGGGGUGAAGCCUGCGGUUCAAUUGGAGUCAACGCCAGAAAUCUUACCCGGAGAGACAGCAGAAUGAAGGUCAAGUUGAAGCCUUUACCAGACAAGCUGAGAAGUGGUGCAUGGCCGUCGCCAGCUCGUGCCGUGAGGUGUCCUGUUAAGUCAGGUAACGAGCGAGAUCCUUGCCUCUAGUUGCUACCAUUACUCUCAGGAGUAGUGGGGCGAAUUAGCGGGACUGCCGUAGUUAAUACGGAGGAAGGAGAGGGCCACGGCAGGUCAGUAUGCCCCGAA